UCCCGUUGAUCCUGCGGGAGAUUGCUGCUAUCUGGAUUCGACUAAGCCAUGCAAGUCUGAGAGCAAUCUCGGCAAAAUGCUCAGUAACACGUCGAUAAUCUACCUUUAGGUAGGGGAUAACCUUGGUAACCUGAGGAUAAAACCCUAUAGGGGAUUGAUUCUGGAAUGAACUUUCCUUAAAACCUUGCGGCCUAAAGAUGAGUCGGCGGCUGAUUAGCUUGUUGGUGAGGUAAUGGCUCACCAAGGCUGUGAUCAGUAGGGGCCUUGAGAGAGGGAGCCCCGAGAAGGACACUGAGAUACUGGUCCUAGCCCUACGGGGUGCAGCAGGCGCGAAACCUUUACAAUGCACGAAAGUGUGAUAAGGGGAUCCAGAGUGCCUAUACAAAAGUAUAGGCUUUUGUCAAGAGUAAAUAUCUUGAAGAAUAAGUGGUGGGAAAGACUGGUGCCAGCAGCCGCGGUAACACCAGCGCCACGAGUGGCAAUCACAUUUAUUGGGCCUAAAGCGUUCGUAGCGGGUUCGGAAAAUCUCUUGUGAAAUCGUUAAGCUCAACUUAACGGCGUGCAGGAGACACUAUCGAACUUGAGACCGGGAGGAGUCAGAGGUAUGUCAGGGGAAGCGGUAAAAUGCAAUAAUCCUUGAUAGACCACCUGUGGCGAAGGCGUCUGACUAGAACGGAUCUGACCGUGAGGGACGAAAGCCAGGGGAGCAAACCGGAUUAGAUACCCGAGUAGUCCUGGCCCUAAACACUGUGAGCUAGGUGUUGCAUAUUCUCCGUGAAUAUGCAGUGUCGAAGUGAAGAUGUUAAGCUCACCGCCUGGGAAGUACAGUCGCAAGGCAGAAACUUAAAGGAAUUGGCGGGGGAGCACCUCAAGGGGUGCGGCGUGCGGUUUAAUCUAACUUUACGCAGAGAAUCUCACCAGAGGCGACGGUAGGAUGAAAGUCAGGCUGAAGACCUUACUUGACGAACCGAGAGGUAGUGCAUGGCCGCCGUCAGCUCGUGCUAUGAAGUGUCCUGUUAAGUCAGGCAACGAGCGAGACCUGUGCUUACAAUUGCUAACAGCUAGCUUGCUAGGACUGAGCUCAUUGUAAGGACUGCCUGGGAAACCAGGAGGAAGGUGCAGGCAACGGUAGGUCUGUAUGCUCCGAAUCUUCUGGGCUACACGCGCGCAACAAUGGUAAGGACAAUGGGCUGCGACUCCGUAAGGAGAAGCUAAUCCUCGAAACCUUACCCAAGUUCAGAUUGAGGGCUGUAAUUCGCCCUCAUGACGCUGGAAUCCCUAGUAAUCGGACUUCAUCACGGUCCGGUGAAUCAGUCCCUGCUCCUUGUACACACCGCCCGUCAAACCAACCGAGCAGGGUUUAAGUGAGCCUCAUCUUUUUGGAUAAGUCGAACUUAAGCUCAGUAAGGUGGGUUAAGUCGUCACAAGGUA
rnacentral:rRNA from 1 species